rnacentral:rRNA from 2 species
GCGACCCCAGGAUGGGCGAGGCCAC